GCUCGAGGAUUGGGUGACUGAAUUUCCAUGCAACUUCGUUUCCUUCCCCUACGUCGUUGUCUCCAUCACUCUCCCCCGAUUCGGCCGCCGACCUCGCCGCUCCUCUAUCCCGCCGCCGCCCGCCGCCCUCCCCUCCCUCCCAUCACCUUCUCUACGCCGGCAGGGCUUCCACCUGUGGAUUGGGGAUCUGCACCAGCGAUGGGCUCCUCCUUCGCCCAGGGCAGCAGGUCCGCCUUGCAGGGCCGGGGCGGGAGCAGGAGCGGGCCGUGCUUUGACCCGGCUCGUCAGCUCUGGCAUGGAGGAGGACCUCUUGUGCGCGGUGGCGGCUGGAGGAGGAGUUGUAUUCGCCAGCAACCGCGACAGAAUUAUCUCAGUAGUCCUUUAUUUUUCUCUACACAAUUGAAUUUUAGUUGCCUGGUGGUCACUGUGUGCGCAAUUCUCUUAAAUAUUUUGUAUCACUUAUACGUCUAUACUUCAAGAUAGGUAUGGACAUUGAGUAAUUUCAGCCAACUUGCCAUAUGGUAAUUGCAGGUUGAUUCCUCUUCAGAUUUUGCUUUAGUAUGUUUUUUUACCGAUUUCUCGAUGAUCCCCAGAAUCACAAAAUCUGGUCAUUUCCAGGUUUAGCAUAAUAGAUUCCUCGAUCUAGCACUUCUUUUGAUAUAGGAGGUUAUUUUUUUACUAAUUGGAGGUUUCAGGCCUCCAUGUUAAUUCUAAGAGGGCAAAGUCUGUUGCAAUAUUUGAUCUUCAGUCUAACCAUGAUGAAUUUUCAGCCAGGCCCCACUUUCGGUUGAUUAUGGUGGUGGAAUGUUGACAAGCUGUGUCUGUCUACCUAUCAUUCUCUCAAUUGUUCAGUUUAAGAACUUUUGGCAGAAGGCUGGACUUUGGGCAUCGGCCAAAUCAUCCUGAGUACUUCUUGAGUUUUUUCUCUCAGCUGUGGAUUAUAAUUUAUUUGCUCGAAUGCUUGCUGAGUUGGCCGAACUCAUCACACUCUGGAGCUCGCGUGCUGUCAGAGAGGAAGACACACAUACUAUGUUGUCUUGGGCAAAUUCACUGAGAUAGUUGUUGAUCACCGAACCUUAUUUCUUUCUCUCUUUCUUUUGCCUUUCGCCUUUGUAAAGCAUCCUGUUCAGCGGUCUGGUGAUAACAGGUCACACUGUUUUAUGUGGCACUAAUAUCACCUUCAUGUAAUUGACUCCGGUCACCCAGGCUCAUGCCUGGUAGAAAGUGAUAAUACCUUUUUAUUCAAAAAAGAAGAGUUUGGAUGUGGAGAGCCCGCGGAUUUAGAAAAUUGGAAGGUCGUUAUGGCCUCAAGGAGGCAUACUAUGGAUGUGCUGCAGAAGACGCAUGCGAAGAUGUCGAGCAUGUGGCUCUGCGCACAAGAGAAUGCAGUGAGUCCAUAUAAUCCAAUUUCCUUACUCUGUAGACUCCAGGUGCCUCUUGAUUCACCUUUUUUACAUCCCAUAGAAGAUAAGGAAAGACAUGUUUUUCAGUUUUGAUGUGCCAUGAACUUAGAUUUUUUUACUGGAACUAUAUAAGGCUUCAAAAUUCAGUUAUCAGAACACGAAUUAAUCCUAGAUAACAUAUGUUGUUGGUCUGGCAGCUUACUGCCAGAAAAGUUGUGCUCUCAAGGGGUGCGAGGACUGCUAGGGAUGUACAGGUAUGACACGUGGAGAGGGUGCUGACAAUUGGCAAUUCAAACUCUGAAAAACACAAAUUCUCACAUUAUUACAGAACGUGUUGCUAAAUCAUGAUAGUUUAUAAGUACGUUACUGAAUGUACUGAACCACAUGUUAGUAGUGAUCGUGAAUUGUGGAAACUUGAUGAUUAUUAUAUAUAACCAAAUUUUGCUAGCCUGCUUGCCGUAAGUUUGUUUCACCAACAGAUAGUUGUAUGUAUGCACAGGUAUGCAGCGCAUUGCUCUGUUCCAAAGUGUGUGCCUGUCUAAUUUUAAUUUGAUAUUGUGUGUGCGUGCCUGUCUAAUUUGCCGUUGUGUGUGAUUUGGUCUGUCACUGUGCGGUCCUACUAUCCUAAGGAUUGCUGCCAAAUUUUUUGUUGUUCGUUCAGGUUCUUUCAAUGCUGCAGCUGCUUCCUCUUCCUCUGCUUCGAAUCGAUCUUUCGUAGGUACGAAGCAUGAUCUUUAAGCUCAUGCAUGUUCACUAUUUUCUGCAGAAUUCACGAAUAAGUAAAACCUAUAUGGCGGAUCGGACAUUCUGUUUCCACUUCUCUACAUCAUGCUGCCCACCGGGCAUGGAUAUUCACCUCCACCAAUUUGAUUGAUCCUAUGUUCUACUUCAGUUUAUCAGCUAAGUUUAUACACUGUCCUGAAAGGCCUAAGCCCAAAUCGCAUGUUAAUUCCCUGGACAAUUUUUUCUUCCAAAAUAUGUCCUGUUGUAUUUAAAUGAACAGAUCCUUCUAAUACAGCACUAUACAUUGGCAAAGAGAUAAUAUAUACUGGUCUCACUCAGAUUUUGUUCUUCAUGUUCAUAUAUAAGUUCUCUUAUUAUCUCUUUGUGUACAUCUUCAAAUAGCAACUUAGUUGGUGGAAUUUAUGUUCCUGCUUUAUGUAGCUAAAUAAAAAUCAGGAACUAUGUUGCAGUGUUUAUUCCUUAGCUCUUUUGAUUUACAAAUAAGUCUACUGUUGUACAAUCCUUAUAAUUGAAGUUGGUUGUUCAAGCAGACACAAUGUGCACUGACAGAAGAUGGUAGGAACAAUGGUCCAAAUUCAACUAUGUAUUUGCCAAAGUUGAUUAUGCUUAACUCUAGGCAUUGCAUUACUAUAUCAUGGUGUACUAUUCUUUGAAGAAUUUGUAGGAGGUACUAGAAAAGCAUGACUUGAUGAGCGAUGCCUUGAUUUUAAAAAACAGCCGGAAAUAAUUUAGUUUAGUAAAAUAUUGUAUAGCCUUCUCGUAGAAGUUUGAUACACUUUUUCAAGAAAACGAACUUUGGUUAAUCAUUAAGCUAUAACUUUUCUCAUAUUUGAACAACAAGGUUAUUUGAGUUCUGCUAAAAAAAGUGGCAAUGCUAAAAAAAGAGGCUAUUUUGUGUAACUUUUGCAAACUUUGUGGAAAGAAGCUAAAAAUAACUGAUUUCGUUGUCUAGUCCACAGUCCAAUGUUAAUCUAGAGGGUGGAAUCUUUAAACUUCGUUAAUGCUUUCUUGUCCGUUUUGAUCAAAUAUAUGCCUGAUGUGGUUUGUAUAAACUUAUGGUGGUAUAGUUAGUUUUGCUUUUUUUUGGGCAGGAUAUAAUAACAUUGUAGGUAGACGGAGACUGAAUCAUUUCACACUACUUUGAUGUCUAUCGAGCCAAUGGGACAACAAAGGUAGUUCCUUUGCACAAUUUGAAGAAUGUUAUUUCAUAUUGCAUGAUAUGUCUGACUCCUUUCAGUGGGCCUUCAAUUAAUUUGAGGCAUCCUUUCCUAGGAUCUUACCUUGAUAUUCCUCUAUUUUCUCCUAUUCGUCCCAUGCUUUUUUAAGAACUGAAAUAAAUAUAACGAGUGUUACAAAUGUUUGCUGAGGAAAAGCCCUUGCAGAAAAGAAGAACCGGAAGCAGGUUUUCUAUCUUCACGAGCAAGUCGGCGUCUGUAAAGCUUUGCUGGAGCCAUUCCAGCUCUUUCAGAGCCACAAGGCAAGGAAGCCGAGGAACCAGGACGCCAACGGUGCGGAGCAGUUUGCCAUCGAGAGGACUAGGCCAAGAUCAACAUCUCCCUCGUGCCUCCAUCAACACCGUGUCCUGGAGGGUCGUCGCCGUCGCGCCGUCCGCGACGAUGAGCAACUGUCGUAGCUUUGUAAGCUGCACGGUUAGAGGGAGGCAUCAAGGGCCGGCCACCGCUGCGGGGGCCGACGUGCGUGCAAUUUCUAUUAAUGUAUCUUAUGUUGCCAAACAACAACAUGCUCUUGUCGAUGCUAUAUCGUUGUGGGCGUGGCAUUUCAGUUUCUUCCUCAGGUGAUGUUCCAAUAUAAUAAGUUCCAUCAAGAAUUGCAUGUAUAUCUACCUGGCACCGCCCAGAUGCCCUCAAGUGGCGCCCCACGGGCGCGCCACAACUACUAGUCUUAUCCAAGCCAUACAUUCUUGCAUGGCAGGGGAUACACUAGUAGAAUUGUAAAAAUUAAAAUUAUAAGUUGAAGCAAAAGAAGAAGA